UACGUAGGGUGCAAGCGUUGUCCGGAAUUAUUGGGCGUAAAGAGCUCGUAGGCGGUCUGUCGCGUCUGCUGUGAAAACUCAGGGCUUAACCCUGAGCUUGCAGUGGGUACGGGCAGACUAGAGUGCGGUAGGGGAGGCUGGAAUUCCUGGUGUAGCGGUGAAAUGCGCAGAUAUCAGGAGGAACACCGGUGGCGAAGGCGGGUCUCUGGGCAUUAACUGACGCUGAGGAGCGAAAGCAUGGGGAGCGAACAGG
rnacentral:rRNA from 1 species